UACGUAGGGGGCUAGCGUUGUCCGGAAUCAUUGGGCGUAAAGAGCGUGUAGGCGGUCCGGUAAGUCCGCUGUGAAAGUCGGGGGCUCAACCCUCGAAUGCCGGUGGAUACUGUCGGGCUAGAGUGCGGAAGAGGCGAGUGGAAUUCCUGGUGUAGCGGUGAAAUGCGCAGAUAUCAGGAGGAACACCGAUUGCGAAGGCAGCUCGCUGGGACGUUACUGACGCUGAGACGCGAAAGCGUGGGGAGCAAACAGG
rnacentral:rRNA from 1 species